UAUUGACAAACUUGCUGCAAAAUUUCUUCGUUUGCAUUUUUUUCAAAAUAAUCUCCCAUCGGUCUGUGUCAUCAGAUUUGUUGAAAGAGUCUGUUGAAAGAAGAUGGAUUAGACAACAAAUCCAAACAAUUUUCAUUGUGUGGCCCCUGGCAUUUUUCACUUCAACGGGUAAACAGAGAUGAAGUAAGAGAUUUAAUAAGAUCGUGGUAGUCAUUGGAACUUAAAUCUACAGUCAUGAUGAAAAGAAAAGAAAAAAUCCAAAAAGAUUAUUUUAUUCAAAUCUAUACAGAACUCAGAACAAAACGCCGAGUAUUCAAGAUAUGAUCCAAUAUCAUUUUACCCUGGGACCUAAUCUGGAAGUUUCCAUCUAUGUUAUCUGAUUUACUUUCCUUAGCAGAAUAAUGCCUUUGUGAAUAUUCUAUAAAAGCUUAUUUUCUAUGAAUCAAUGCUUACUUGUUCAUUGAGGUUUUCACACAUUUCCAAGCUAAUGCCA